UGGGGAAUUUUGCACAAUGGAGGAAACUCUGAUGCAGCGACGCCGCGUGAGUGAUGAAGAUCUUCGGAUUGUAAAACUCUGUCCUUAGUGAAGAUAAUGACAGUAACUAAGAAGCAAGCCCUGGCUAAAUACGUGCCAGCAGCCGCGGUAAUACGUAUGGGGCAAGCGUUGUCCGGAAUUAUUGGGCGUAAAGGGUACGUAGGCGGUUUAAUAAGUCCUAAUUAAAAGGCUAUGGCUCAACCAUAGUAUGGUUAGGAAACUGUUGAACUUGAGUAGAUGAGGGGAAAGUGGAAUUCCAUGUGUAGCGGUGAAAUGCGUAGAUAUAUGGAGGAACACCAAUGGCGAAGGCAACUUUCUGGAAUCAGACUGACGCUGAGGUACGAAGGCGUGGGGAGCAAACAGG
rnacentral:rRNA from 1 species